rnacentral:ncRNA from 1 species
AAGGAACUCGGCAAAAAAGCAGCCGUAACUUCGGGAUAAGGCUUCCCCUUUGUUAACUCAAAGGGGCGCAGUGAAAGUAUCUCUGGCAACUGUUUACCAAAAACACAGCUCCCUGCGAACUCGCAAGAGGAUGUAUAGGGGGUGACACUUGACCAAUGCCAGAAGGUCAAAUAUCGACGUUGCUAUGUCGCAAGAUGUAGUGGUGAUUGAUAUAAGCCCUGGUGAAUGUCGGCCGUAACUAUAACGGUCCUAAGGUUCUGCACACAACGCAAGUUAUGCGCGGAAUGACUGGGACUGUUAUAGAGUAAAGGUAAACAAUUAAAUUAAAAAAUUAUUAGAUUAUUCGAAUGCUACCUGCUUCACAGUAAUGUGAAGACAGUCAAAACUUGGCUAACGAGAGACCAGCGUCAAGCAUCCUAACCCUCGGGUGGAUGAAGAUAGAGUCCUUCUUAGGUAUAGAAGAGCGAAAUACCUUGUCGGGUAGAAAACUGCCCAUCCGAAGAGUGAUCCUCGGAUUAAAUCUGGCUUAUAACGGUGGAGCCCUUUGUAACAUAAUGCGCGUACACAAAGGGGAAUACCGUGGGAAGUCGUUCUGUCGCAAGUAGGCAGAAUUGACCCCGUAACGACUUAGGUCGCCUAUGUAUAAUGGCGACUAAGAUGGAAAUGUGAUAUACUUUCCAUAAUAUGCCGGCUCUCAAAACAAAACGCAAUAUACAAGAAUAUAUUUCUGGAUAUAUAGAUGGAGAAGGUUGCUUCAGUAUUUCAUUUUCAAAACGAGAUAAAUUUCUCGUCGGUUGGGAAACUAAACCAAGUUUUUCAGUUAGUCAAAAUGAAGACAGAGCGCAAACCCUUUUCUUGAUGAAAAGAACUUUCAAAUGUGGAUUCAUUAGGCGAGAUUUUUCAGACAAAACACUUAAAUACGAAGUGCGAAGUCUGGAUGAUUUGAUCCGUCAUGUAAUUCCUCAUUUUAAAAAAUAUCCAUUGGUUUCAGCUAAACAAAGAGAUUUUAAAUUUUUUGAAAAAGUCUGUUUAUUGAUGCAAAAACAAUUGCAUAAAAACAAAAAUGGACUAGGAAAAAUUAUGAAUCUUGCGUUUCAAAUGAACCCAAGCGGUAAGCGGAAAUAUACGAAAGCGGAAAUGCAAAAAGCGUUGAGAUGAAGAUAUAGUCUGAUCCCUCUUGUAAAAGAGGAUAACAAAUUUGAAGUUCCGACGCGCACGAAUAGUGUAAUGACUGGAGAACUGUCUCGGGGACCAGCUCGGUGAAAAUACAAUACCGGUGAAGAUGCCGGUUAAGUGCAGUUAGACGAAAAGACCCUAUGAAGCUUUACUAUAACUUUAUAUUGAGCAUAUUUUUGGACUGCGUAGAAUAGAUGGGAGGGGUCUGAUGUGUACGGUUUUGGCUGUACUCUACCCAACAGUGAAAUACCAUUCUUUUUGAGGAUAUGUUCUAACCAAAACGGCAAAAACGUUUUGAGACAGUAUAUGGCGGAUAGUUUUACUGGGGCUGUACCCUCCUAAAAAGUAAAGGAGGGGUUUAAAGGUCAGCUAGGCGCGAAUGGAAACCGUGCCGAUAGUGUAUGAGCACAAGCUGGCUUGACUGUAAGACGUACUUGUCAAGCAGGUGGGAAACCAGAAUCAAGUGAACCGACCACCCGUGUUAGACGCGGUGGAAGAUUAACGGAUAAAAGCUACUCUAGGGAUAACAGGCUAGUUCCGCCCAAGAGUUCAUAUCGACGGCGGAGUUCGGCACCUCGAUUAACACCGAAUGUCGAGGAGAGAGUACGAACAGUACUCUCAUGUGUAUGAUGAAAAUCAUGCACAC